GGGUGAGUAACGCGUGGGUAACCUGCCCUGUACACACGGAUAACAUACCGAAAGGUAUGCUAAUACGGGAUAACAUAUUUUCAUCACAUGGUGAGAAUAUCAAAGCUCCGGUGGUACAGGAUGGACCUGCGUCUGAUUAGCUAGUUGGUAAGGUAACGGCUUACCAAGGCGACGAUCAGUAGCCGACCUGAGAGGGUGAUCGGCCACAUUGGAACUGAGACACGGUCCAAACUCCUACGGGAGGCAGCAGUGGGGAAUAUUGCACAAUGGGCGAAAGCCUGAUGCAGCAACGCCGCGUGAGCGAUGAAGGCCUUCGGGUCGUAAAGCUCUGUCCUCAAGGAAGAUAAUGACGGUACUUGAGGAGGAAGCCCCGGCUAACUACGUGCCAGCAGCCGCGGUAAUACGUAGGGGGCUAGCGUUAUCCGGAAUUACUGGGCGUAAAGGGUGCGUAGGUGGUUUCUUAAGUCAGAGGUGAAAGGCUACGGCUCAACCGUAGUAAGCCUUUGAAACUGAGAAACUUGAAUGCAGGAGAGGAGAGUAGAAUUCCAAGUGUAGCGGUGAAAUGCGUAGAUAUUAGGAGGAAUACCAGUUGCGAAGGCGGCUCUCUGGACUGUAACUGACACUGAGGCACGAAAGCGUGGGGAGCAAACAGGACUAGAUACCCUGGUAGUCCACGCCGUAAACGAUGAGUACUAGCUGUCGGAGGUUACCCCCUUCGGUGGCGCAGCUAACGCAUUAAGUACUCCGCCUGGGAAGUACGCUCGCAAGAGUGAAACUCAAGGGAAUUGACGGGGACCCGCACAAGUAGCGGAGCAUGUGGUUUAAUUCGAAGCAACGCGAAGAACCUUACCUAAGCUUGACAUCCUUCUGACCCUUCCUAAUCGGAGAUUUCCCUUCGGG
rnacentral:rRNA from 1 species